rnacentral:rRNA from 1 species
AUUGAACGCUGGCGGCAUGCCUUACACAUGCAAGUCGAACGGCAGCACGGGGCAACCUGGUGGCGAGUGGUGAACGGGUGAGUAAUGCAUCGGAACGUACCUUUCAGUGGGGGAUAACGCAGCGAAAGUUACGCUAAUACCGCAUAUUCUGUGAGCAGGAAAGCAGGGGAUCGCAAGACCUUGCGCUGAUUGAGCGGCCGAUGUCAGAUUAGCUAGUUGGUGAGGUAAAGGCUCACCAAGGCGACGAUCUGUAGCGGGUCUGAGAGGAUGAUCCGCCACACUGGAACUGAGACACGGUCCGGACUCCUACGGGAGGCAGCAGUGGGGAAUUUUGGACAAUGGGGGCAACCCUGAUCCAGCCAUGCCGCGUGAGUGAAGAAGGCCUUCGGGUUGUAAAGCUCUUUCGGCCGGGAAGAAAUCGCACGGGCUAAUACCCUGUGUGGAUGACGGUACCGGAAUAAGAAGCACCGGCUAACUACGUGCCAGCAGCCGCCAUAGUAA